rnacentral:rRNA from 1 species
AAAUACAGAAGAACCCGUGCGAGCGCUACUGCUUACUGACGUGAGCUGAAGCUGGACAACGAUAGAACUGUAGUCGCACGUAACGAUGAAUACUAGUGUUGGAGCUAUAGCUUCGUCGCAGCUACGCAUAGUAUUCACUUGGGAGUACGUUGCAGAUGAACUCAAAGGAUUGACGGGACUGCACAGCGUGAGCAUGUGGUUGAGUCGAAGCAACGCGAAGAACCUUACCAGUCUGACAUCUGAUGACAGAGAGGAUGAUGCUCUUUCCUUCGGGCAUCAAGACAGUGUGCUGUGCCUCGCUCCCGUCGUGAGAUGUUGGUUAGUCCCGCAACGAGCGCAACCCUGUCGUUAGUAGCCAGCACGUUACGGUGGGCACUCUAAUGAGACUGCCGGGGAUAACCCGGAGGAAGGUGGGGAUGACGUCAAAUCAUCAGUGCACCUUAUGAUUUGGGCUACACACGUGCUACAAUGGCGUAAACAAAGAGAGGCGAAGUCGUGAGGCAGAGCAAAUCUCAAAAAUAACGUCUCAGUUCGGAUUGUAGUCUGCAACUCGACUACAUGAAGCUGGAAUCGAUAGUAAUCGCGAAUCAGCAUGUCGCGGUGAAUACGUUCCUUGGUCUUGUACACACCGCCCGUCACACCAUGGGAGUCGGAAAUGCCCGAAGUACGUGACUAACCGUAAGGAGAGAGCGUCUGAAGGCCGGUCUGG